AUUGAACGCUGGCGGCAGGCCUAACACAUGCAAGUCGAACGGUAACAGGAAGCAGCUUGCUGCUUCGCUGACGAGUGGCGGACGGGUGAGUAAUGUCUGGGAAGCUGCCUGAUGGAGGGGGAUAACUACUGGAAACGGUAGCUAAUACCGCAUAAUGUCGCAAGACCAAAGAGGGGGACCUUCGGGCCUCUUGCCAUCGGAUGUGCCCAGAUGGGAUUAGCUUGUUGGUGGGGUAACGGCUCACCAAGGCGACGAUCCCUAGCUGGUCUGAGAGGAUGACCAGCCACACUGGAACUGAGACACGGUCCAGACUCCUACAGUCGGCCGCAGUGGGGAAUAUUGCACGAGGGGGGCAAGCCUGAUGCAGCCAUGCCGCGUGUAUGCAGAAGGCCUUCGGGUUGUAAAGUACUUUCAGCGGGGAGGAAGGGAGUAAAGUUAAUACCUUUGCUCAUUGACGUUACCCGCAGAAGAAGCACCGGCUAACUCCGUG
rnacentral:rRNA from 1 species